GAGUUUGAUCGUGGCUCAGAACGAACGCUGGCGGCAGGCUUAACACAUGCAAGUCGAACGCCCCGCAAGGGGAGUGGCAGACGGGUGAGUAACGCGUGGGAACGGUGCCCCAAGGUACGGAACAACACCGGGAAACUGGUGCUAAUACCGUAUGUGACCGAGAGGUGAAAGAUUUAUCGCCUUGGGAUCGGCCCGCGUUAGAUUAGCUAGUUGGUGAGGUAAUGGCUCACCAAGGCUGCGAUCUAUAGCUGGUCUGAGAGGAUGAUCAGCCACACUGGGACUGAGACACGGCCCAGACUCCUACGGGAGGCAGCAGUGGGGGAAUCUUGGACAAUGGGCGCAAGCCUGAUCCAGCCAUGCCGCGUGAAUGAUGAAGGCCUUAGGGUUGUAAAGUUCUUUCGUCGGGGGACGAUAAUGACGGUACCCGAAGAAGAAGCCCCGGCUAACUUCGUGCCAGCCGCCGCGGU
rnacentral:rRNA from 1 species